UUGAAGAUUAUAUUUUGAGUCCUCGUCUCCUUGAGACUUCUCAGUUUUUUAGGUAGAGAGUCCUCUAGUUGGUGGUUGAAAUUGAACUCAGGUGUUGUUUGCUUUUGAUAGAAGAAUUCCCGAACCUUUGAAUUUCUUAGUAUUAGGAAACAUUUGGGUUGUUCUGUUGGUGUAUCAGUUGUAAUAUGUUACCCUACAAAAUGGGUUAGUUUAUCUCUUCUAAGUUAAGCUAUAUUUGGAUAAUGAAAGACUGUUGAUGAAUGUUGUUUAUUGUCUUUGAACUCCAUUGAUAUUGCUUGGGAAAUUGAUGCCGACUCAGUAGGGCAUUUUGUCAAACACCUGUGGUGCAUCCAUGAAUACCUCUUAACUCUCCAGAUGUACGGGAUGAGACUUAUACAGCAUUCGAAAACAUCUAUCCGGUCCUUUCAGAGUUUAGAAAGGUUCAGCAAUGAUCGAUUAUGGUGGCGGCUCAUCGCUGAGCGUAUGCAUCUCAUUUAAUGAUAAUGGCAGAGAAUUCAAGCGUGAAACCUGACACAGGGACAGUGCAGCUGGAUCUUAAGCUGUAGUUCUGUUCACAAGGGUCUAAUGUUCCAUUCAUAGAAUUUUUUUGAUCUUUUGCCCUCCCAAAGUGGUGUACAUGGACAAAGGGUGAAAUGUACUCAUGUGGUUUCUGUAAUCAUGUGCUGUUUGUUUGGGAUUUGGAAGGAGAAGCAAAAUUGAAUCACAUUUUAAUGUUUUUUCCCCAUGAUUCUUGUUAUGAGGAUUAUUGUUGCUCUAGUAGUAACAACUCCA